UGAUCUACCAUUUCAGCGAAUUACCUGUAGCAACGCUGAUUAAGUUUGUUGAUGAAGGAGACAAUAGAAGUGAUGCCUACGCCCUUGCAACGUACUUGAACGCUUGGAAACACCUGCUUAAGGAAACCAACCCAUCUUGGAAGGCCCCGUUUUCAUGGAAGAACUUGUAUGGAGGACCACAACCAGUUGGCCUUUGUUGAUGUCUCAUGCUCAUUUGGAACGUGUCGUAGAAGGUUUAUGGUGAUGUUUAUUGUAUAACAGUGAAUAUUCUUGGUGAAUAGUUUAUUAUAAAAAAAUUCUUGCCUGUGUGAAGUUGUGAACCACUUUGUGUAUAAUUAUAUCACUAAAGACGAUGAGAGAAUCAGCA